UACGUAGGUGGCAAGCGUUGUCCGGAUUUACUGGGCGUAACGAGCGCGCAGGCGGUCGUGCAAGUCGCGUGUGAAAGCCCCCGGCUCAACUGGGGAGGGUCACGCGAUACUGCUCGACUUGAAGGCAGGAGAGGGAAGUGGAAUUCCCGGUGUAGUGGUGAAAUGCGUAGAUAUCGGGAGGAACACCAGUGGCGAAGGCGACUUCCUGGCCUGUUCUUGACGCUGAGGCGCGAAAGCUAGGGUAGCAAACGGG
rnacentral:rRNA from 1 species